rnacentral:lncRNA from 1 species
UUACAGAUGCAUCUUAGAGUAUUAAUAAUAACAUAUCUGCGGUCCCCACAAGAGCAGCUACAGAGCAAUUAAAAGUCAGAAAGAAUCCAAGAAAGUCUAAAUGGUUUCUAUUAAAAAUAGGAAUUUAUCUCCCUUACAUUUCUGUGAGUCUGAAUUAGUGAUUUCGUAUUUGGGAUCACGUUGUGGAUUAAAUGAUUCAUGCAAAGACAGAACAUGCAACGCUUCCUGAUAAAAGUUAUUAGAAAUUACUGAUGAGACAGGCGCCGGCGGGAGCCUUCUUGGCUCCGGGACUCCGCGGAGGGCAGGCUGCACGGGAGACCAUGUGGAAUACACAGGCCAGCUGUUUCUGGGACGGGCGAGAGUCGCAGAGCUUCUGGGGCGGCGCCAUCUUCGUCUCCAGACAACCGGCCACCUUCCUGGCGAGAGCCACAGAGCUUCUGAGGCGGCACCAUCUUCAGCUCCAGACAGCCGGCCACCUUCCUGGUGAGAGCACGGGUCUCUGCCCGGCCUGAGAGGUUUGUGUCACAGGCGCCGGCGGGAGCCUUCUUGGCUCCGGGACACCGCGGAGGGCAGGCUGCACGGAUGACCGUGUGGAAUACAGAGGCCAGCCGUUUCUGGUACGGGCGAGAGUCGCAGAGCUUCUGGGGCGGUGCCAUCUUCGGCUCCAGACGGCCGGCCACCUU